GGGGCCAGAAAGGGGCCGGCUUGGUGGGAGGACAGUGCCCAGGCCUUCCUUCGGGUGGUAGUGGAAGGUUCUCCAGGUAGGGCAGGUGGGUUUGUCUCUCCGGGUUAAAUGGCAGUGUUGCUAUUCGUGUGUGUGUGUGUGUAACAGCAGCUUGGAAAUUGGAACUUUAUGAUCUGGAUGAUGAAAAUUGCUAAAAGUCAGACGUUAGGUAUUGUCAAAGGCAGCGGUUUUCCAAAUGGUUCUGGACAGACACCCAUCCAAACAGCUGAGCUCACAAGCUUGGAACCAAUAUAAUUUACAUAUGUAAAUAUGCAAACUAAAGACAAACACAACAGAACACAGUGGCAGGAUUAUUUAUUUGUUUUUUAAUUUAGCAUAUUUAUUUUGGGUAGAAACAGAAGUUGAGGGUGGAAAAGACGGGGGAGAGAGAGAGAGACAUGCUCAUAGAGCUCCAUGCCUGGAGUCUGAACCAGGGUCCUUAUUCAUGGUAACAUUUGUGUCUAGCCAGGGGUGCCGCUGCCUGGCCCACACAUAAACAGACAUUUAAAAGAAGAGAAAA